rnacentral:rRNA from 1 species
AUUGGCAUAUCAAUAAGCGGAGGGAAAGGCCCCAACAGGGAUUGCCUCACCAACGGCGAGUGAAGCGGCAACAGCUCAAAUUUGAAAUCUGGCUCCGGACCCGAGUUGUAAUUUGCAGAGGAAGCUUCUGGUGAUGCACCGUCUAAGUCCCCUGGAACGGGGCGCCACAGUGGGUGAGAGCCCCAUUUGACGGACGCUGAGCCUGUGUGAAGCUCCUUCGACGAGUCGAGUAGUUUGGGAAUGCUGCUCAAAAUGGGAGGUAAAUUCCUUCUAAAGCUAAAUAUUGGCCAGAGACCGAUAGCGCACAAGUAGCAAGAUGAGUGAUCGAAAGAUGAAAAGCACUUUGAAAAGAGGGUUAAACAGCACGUGAAAUUGUUGAAAGGGAAGCGCUUGUGACCAGACUUGCGCUGGGUUGAUCAUCCGGUGUUCUCACCUGUGCACUCGGCCCACCUCAAGCCAGCAUCGGUUUUGGCGGGGGGAUUAAGGCGCUGGCAACGUAUCUCCCCGGGGAGAGUUAUAGGCCAGCGUGCAAUGCCCCCGGUGGGACCUAGGUUCGUGCAUCUGCAAGGAUGCGGGAGGAAUGGUAAUCAGCGACCCGUCUUGAAACACGCACCAAGCAGUGAGGGAUGUGUUCGAGUGUUUGGGUGUCAAUCCCGACCGCGUAAGGAAAGAAAGUGGAGGUGGGAAACAGCUUGGGUGCAUCAUCGACCGAUCCUGAUGUAUUCGGAAGGAUUUGAGUAAGAGCAUGGAUCCUGGGACCCGAAAGAUGGUGAACUAUGCUUGAAUAGGGUGAAGCCAGAGGAAACUCUGGUGGAGGCUCGCAGCGGUUCUGACGUGCAAAUCGAUCGUCUAAUCCGCGCAUGGGGGCGAAAGACUAAUCGAACCAUCUAGUAGCUGGUUACCGCCAAAGU